UACAGAGGUGGCAAGCGUUGUUCGGAAUUACUGGGCGUAAAGGGCGCGUAGGCGGCUCGACAAGUCCCGCGUGAAAGCCCCCGGCUCAACUGGGGAACUGCGCGGGAAACUGUCGGACUUGAGUUCGGGAGAGGGAAGCGGAAUUCCAGGUGUAGCGGUGAAAUGCGUAGAUAUCUGGAGGAACACCGGUGGCUAAGGCGGCAUCCUGGACCGACACUGACACUGAGGAGCGAAAGCCAGGGGAGCAAACGGG
rnacentral:rRNA from 1 species